GAUCCUGGCUUAGGACGAACGCUGGCGGCGUGCCUAACACAUGCAAGUCGAACGGAGUUAAUGGUUCGGUUGUUAACUUAGUGGCGAACGGGUGAGUAACGCGUGAACAACCUGACCCAAAGAGGGGGAUAACAUUUGGAAACAGAUGCUAAUACCGCAUAAGACCACAACGUCACAUGGCGAAGGGGUCAAAGGAGCAAUCCGCUUUGGGAGGGGUUCGCGUCCCAUUAGGUAGUAGGCGGGGUAACAGCCCACCUAGCCAACGAUGGGUAGCCGAGCUGAGAGGCUGAUCGGCCACACUGGAACUGAGACACGGUCCAGACUCCUACGGGAGGCAGCAGUGGGGAAUAUUGGGCAAUGGGCGCAAGCCUGAACCCCAGCAACGCCGCGUGAGGGAAGAAGGUUUUCGGAUUGUAAACCUCUGUCGCAGAAGACGAAGGAAGUGACGGUAUUCUGUGAGGAAGCCCCGGCUAACUACGUGCCAGCCGCUGC
rnacentral:rRNA from 1 species